GACGAACGCUGGCGGCGUGCCUAAUACAUGCAAGUAGAACGCUGAAGAGAGGAGCUUACUCUUCUUGGAUGAGUUGCGAACGGGUGAGUAACGCGUAGGUAACCUGCCUUGUAGCGGGGGAUAACUAUUGGAAACGAUAGCUAAUACCGCAUAACAAUGGAUGACACAUGUCAUUUAUUUGAAAGGGGCAAUUGCUCCACUACAAGAUGGACCUGCGUUGUAUUAGCUAGUAGGUGAGGUAAUGGCUCACCUAGGCGACGAUACAUAGCCGACCUGAGAGGGUGAUCGGCCACACUGGGACUGAGACACGGCCCAGACUCCUACGGGAGGCAGCAGUAGGGAAUCUUCGGCAAUGGGGGCAACCCUGACCGAGCAACGCCGCGUGAGUGAAGAAGGUUUUCGGAUCGUAAAGCUCUGUUGUAAGUCAAGAACGGGUGUGAGAGUGGAAAGUUCACACUGUGACGGUAGCUUACCAGAAAGGGAUGGCUAACUACGUG
rnacentral:rRNA from 1 species